CUGAGACUUGUCUCAGAUUUUCUGGGUUCACAUUUUGGUAACCACAGGGGGAUUCUGAGUGGAGAUACCCCUGACCUUUGACAAAUAUCCUGUUGGUGCUUGGUACCAGCAUGAGCUAACUUUAUGGUUCAAACCAAUAGGACAAUUUGCCGUGCACCCCCUCCAGAGAAUCCCUGAGCUCCAAAAAUUUGGUUGAGAUCAAAAGUUUAUUUUGCUGUACAACUCCUCUUUUUGAGGGAGUUUUACUUGCUUCCAACAGGAAGGCAGGUUUUCUUGCUUCCAUGAUGAUGGAAGGCAGACAACUCCUUUAUGGAGUUUGAGCUUGCUUCCAACAGGGAAGAUGAGGUUUUUUUUUUCCUUCUUCUAGGAUGGUAGAGAGCGGUCUACAGCCUGAGACCCAUCACCAGCUAUUGCAACAGAGGCUACUCUUUGGUUUUCAAGAAAGAGUGUGGCUGCGCGUGGUGGCUCAUGCCUGUCAUCCCAACACUUUGGGACACCGAGGCGGGAGGAUCACGAGGUCAGGAGUUCAAGACCAGCAUGGACAACCUGGUGAAACCUCAUCUCUACUAAAAAUACAAAAAUUAGCUGGGCAUGGUGGUGCGUGCCUGUAAUCCCAGCUACUCAGGAGGCUGAGGCAGGAGAAUUGUUUGAACCGGGACCCAAGAGGACACAAUUGGAGAAAUUAUUUUACCAAGGCUUUGACUGGAAUGAUGUACUUUCCUUUAAAGAAUAAACUUGACUUAUGGAGCCAAUAAAGCCCUUUUGAAAAACUGGCCUCAUGUUUUAUGUACACAGUCCAUGUGCAGGGGUUCUGACCUGUGGACAUGAGACUUCACAAUCUGCUAAAAAUGAGCUUUUGGGACCUACUCAUCUAGAAAUAAACCAUCCUAGCCAUGAGAGAUCAGAUGAAACCUGAAGCCAGAGAUUUAUUUUUUUGUAAAAUGCUUUCUACAAAAGAUUUGAAAAAAGAAAAGGGGGGAAAUGUGAAAAGAAAAUAUCUUGGGCCCCUUCAAGCUGGAAACCACUCAGGGCAAAUCUCCCUUGCAUUCUAUUCAAUGUAAUCCCUCUGCUCACAGAGAUAGAUGCAUAUUCUGAUUGGGCUUGCUUUAAGUUGUUUCUGUUUUUCUGGACAGAAAUAAUGGACUCCUUACAUAUAUUGAUUGAUAUUUCAUGUCUGCCUAAAAUAUACAAAACCAAACUGUGCCCCGACUACCUUGGGCACAUGUCAUCAGGAUUUCCUGAGGCUGUCAUGGGUGUGUCCUCAAC
rnacentral:lncRNA from 10 species